rnacentral:rRNA from 1 species
UGGGGAAUUUUGGACAAUGGGCGAAAGCCUGAUCCAGCAAUGCCGCGUGUGUGAAGAAGGCCUUCGGGUUGUAAAGCACUUUUGUCCGGAAAGAAAUCCUUGGCUCUAAUACAGUCGGGGGAUGACGGUACCGGAAGAAUAAGCACCGGCUAACUACGUGCCAGCAGCCGCGGUAAUACGUAGGGUGCAAGCGUUAAUCGGAAUUACUGGGCGUAAAGCGUGCGCAGGCGGUUUGCUAAGACCGAUGUGAAAUCCCCGGGCUCAACCUGGGAACUGCAUUGGUGACUGGCAGGCUAGAGUAUGGCAGAGGGGGGUAGAAUUCCACGUGUAGCAGUGAAAUGCGUAGAGAUGUGGAGGAAUACCGAUGGCGAAGGCAGCCCCCUGGGCCAAUACUGACGCUCAUGUACGAAAGCGUGGGGAGCAAACAGGAUUAGAUACCCUGGUAGUCCACGCCCUAAACGAUGUCAACUAGUUGUUGGGGAUUCAUUUUCCUUAGUAACGUAGCUAACGCGUGAAGUUGACCGCCUGGGGAGUACGGUCGCAAGAUUAAAACUCAAAGGAAUUGACGGGGUCAUAGCUGUUUCCU